GUGCUCCCUUCGGCAGCUCAUAUACUAUAUUGGAACAAUACAGAGAAGAUCAGCAUGGCCCCUGCACAAGGAUGACACGCAAAUUUGUGAAGCAUUCUGUAUUUUU
ensembl:snRNA U6 U6 spliceosomal RNA